rnacentral:lncRNA from 1 species
GUGUUAUCAACCUCUACUUGAAUUAUAAUAUCUAACAUAUGUUAAGUUAUUCAAACAAACGUAGAAACUAAAUCUUAUAAUUACCCAUUGAGGUAUGCGUUGUUCUAUUUACAUUUUUUUUUUAUGUUUAUCAAUACUUUAAUGGAAUGAUGUCAAUAUAACAUGUUAUGCUAGUAACUUGGUGAAAUAAUAACCAUCUCUAAAAUAUGUUCAAAUGCUUAACAGCACAUGUACACUGCUUUGCUUACUUCAGUGAUUAAUGUUAAUGUGCUAUAUUGCCUUUCUAUAUGUUUAUAUGAGCUGUUAGUUUUCGAUAAAAUGCUUUUAUUUCCAAUUAA